rnacentral:rRNA from 1 species
GACAGAGGGUGCUAGCGUUGUUCGGAAUUACUGGGCGUAAAGGGCGCGUAGGCGGCCCGUUUAGUCGGGUGUGAAAUCCCGGGGCUCAACCCCGGAACUGCAUUCGAUACUGGCGGGCUUGAGACCGGAAGAGGUGGGUGGAAUACCCAGUGUAGAGGUGAAAUUCGUAGAUAUGGGGUGGAACACCGGUGGCGAAGGCGGCCAUCUGGACGGUAACUGACGCUGAGACGCGAAAGCGUGGGGAGCAAACAGG